UACGAAGGGGGCUAGCGUUGCUCGGAAUCACUGGGCGUAAAGGGUGCGUAGGCGGGUCUUUAAGUCAGGGGUGAAAUCCUGGAGCUCAACUCCAGAACUGCCUUUGAUACUGGCAAUCUCGAGUCCGGGAGAGGUGAGUGGAGCUGCGAGUGUAGAGGUGAAAUUCGUAGAUAUUCGCAAGAACACCAGUGGCGAAGGCGGCUCACUGGCCCGAUACUGACGCUGAGGCACGAAAGCGUGGGGAGCAAACAGGG
rnacentral:rRNA from 1 species